rnacentral:rRNA from 1 species
GAUGAACGCUGGCGGCGUGCCUAAUACAUGCAAGUAGAACGCUGAAGGAAGGAGCUUGCUCUUUCCGGAUGAGUUGCGAACGGGUGAGUAACGCGUAGGUAACCUGCCUGGUAGCGGGGGAUAACUAUUGGAAACGAUAGCUAAUACCGCAUAACAGUAGAUGUUGCAUGAUAUCUACUUAAAAGGUGCAAUUGCACCACUACCAGAUGGACCUGCGUUGUAUUAGCUAGUUGGUGAGGUAACGGCUCACCAAGGCGACGAUACAUAGCCGACCUGAGAGGGUGAUCGGCCACACUGGGACUGAGACACGCCCCAGACGCCUACGGGAGGCAGCAGUAGGGAAUCGUCGGCAAUGGACGGAAGACUGACCGAGCAACGCCGCGUGAGUGAAGAAGGUUUUCGGGUCGUAAAGCUCUGUUGUAAGAGAAGAACGAGUGUGAGAGUGGAAAGUUCACACUGUGACGGUAUCUGACCAGAAAGGGACGGCUAACUGCGUG